AGCCAUUCAGCAAGAUCAGGUUCUACUGUUGAGGAUGCUUCACAACAUGCUGAAGUUACUGCUGGAAUCUACACAACCAAGAGAAAAUGCUGCAGUAGGAGGGUCUUCCACUGUGGCAUCACCCAAAGGGGAUUGAAAAAGAGAAAUGUAAAAGUACAAAGCCAAUUAUGUAAGCAAGAGUGACAGGAAAACCAGAAAAAUAAAGGACCUUAUGUGCUUAUAAAGAAAAAGAAGACAUCAAUGU